rnacentral:rRNA from 1 species
UACGUAGGGUGCAAGCGUUAAUCGGAAUGACUGGGCGUAAAGGGUGCGCAGGCGGUCUGCUAAGACAGAGGUGAAAUCCCCGGGCUUAACCUGGGAAUGGCCUAUGUGACUGGCAGGCUAGAGGGUGGCAGAGGGAGGCGGAAUUCCACGUGUAGCAGUGAAAUGCGUAGAGAUGUGGAGGAACACCGAUGGCGAAGGCAGGUCUCUGGGCUGACACUGACGCUCAUGCACGAAAGCGUGGGGAGCAAACAGG